rnacentral:rRNA from 1 species
UACACGCUGUGACUAGCAUAUCAAUAAGCGGAGGAAAAGAAACUAACAAGGAUUCCCUCAGUAACGGCGAGUGAAGCGGGAAGAGCUCAAAUUUGAAAUCUUGAAAGGUCACCUUUCACGAAUUGUAGUUUAAAGAAGUGUUUUCUGUUACGAUCGUAAUAUAAGUUCUUUGGAAUAGGACAUCACAGAGGGUGAGAAUCCCGUCUAUGAUUGCGAUUUGUAGCUUUGUGAUACACUUUCAAAGAGUCGGGUUGUUUGGGAAUGCAGCCCAAAACGGGAGGUAAAUUUCUUCUAAGGCUAAAUAUUGGCAAGAGACCGAUAGCGAACAAGUACCGUGAGGGAAAGAUGAAAAGAACUUUGAAAAGAGAGUUAAACAGUACGUGAAAUUGUCAAAAGGGAAGCGUUUGACACCAGUGUUGUUUUCUCGAAAAUCAAUUAAAGAACUGUUUAUGCUAAGUUGUUAGACUUUAUCUGCUAUCUGCUUAGUUUUGAGCUUUUCUUUAAUGCACUUUUCAGUUAACAAGUCAACAUCAAUUUCUUUUGCUGUAAAAAAGCUUGAGGAAGGUGGCUUGAGAUUCGUCUUAAGUGUUUAUAGCCUCUUGCCUAUGCAGUCGGAGAGAUUGAGGUCUGCAGCGUAGAUCCUUCGGGGCUAAAUGCAUUUGUGCUAAGUUAUAGCAUUUUAUAGACAACUUGUUGACUAUGAUUUGUCUUGUAGCUUACUCGCUUAUGUUAUUUUACCUACGCUUAGGAUGUUGAGUAGCGACAUACGCAC